AGCGGGAAGACCCAGUGGGUGCCACGCAAGAAUAUCACUCCCCAAGCUCCCUGAGCCCCUGCUCUCAGGACUGGCUCUGCAGGGGGCUGCCCAGAGGGAAAAGACACCUGGCGCUCAGUAACUUCACUCCCUAUUUGUGGAGCACUUCUGUGUGCCAGGCACCCUUCCAGGUGCUGCGGGCUUAGCAAAUAGAGGAAACAGGUCCCAUGCUCUCAUGAAGCCUUCAGACAGGGACACGGAGGUCUUCAUAUUCAUUGUCCUGUGCUUGGAAUUCCCAGUCUCACCUCCCUCUCACCUCUUACAUCUGGCAAACUCCUCCUCAAACUUUGAGGCUCAGUUCAAGCAUCAGUGUGGACAGAGGUCUCCCGUCCACCAGAGAUACCUGUAUUCCGUCCUCCUGAGAUCAGCUGUGCUUCCCAUUAAAGCAGUGAUGUCCAUGGUAUCUCUGCAUUGUGCCUUUGGAGAGCUGGCCACCAGAACUGUCAAUCAGGCUGCCAGUCUCUGACACUGUACCACCUAGGUCCUUCCUCUCAUCCGGGAACAACAGAUCCAUCCUGAAUGCAAUCUUGGACAAUGUCUGCAAAAGUCACAAACAGCGGCCAUGGGUUAGAGCCUUGUCGGUGGGUCUGUGGUGCCUGAGAUGGGUCCAUACCAAGAGCUGUCAAGUGUAACUGACCUUGGAGUAGACCAGCUCCUGUCAAUUUCUGCCUGUCCAUGGACUAUGGAAACAGAAACAUCUCAUAAUUCUAUCAGAGAUUAAAAGUAACUGAGAGUUCAG